GUGAUCCUCUGAAAACAACAGCUGCUGGAAACAGACUCAGUCAGACACACAACCCAGAACCAGCAGAUGGGAGAGCCUGACUGUUACCCUAUCAGCCUGAUCUCUGCGCAGCACAGAGGGAAAUAUUCAAACUGCCUCAGGCUGGUUUGUCUCUGCUCUGGAGGGCAAACUGUCAGGACAUGUUUUUGGAAUAACGAUCAUGAAGAAAUCUUUCUACGGGGAUUCUCCCAGACUGAGUCAGGACUCGGUGGGUGCAUGUGGAGGCAGCCUAAGAUCGGUUGUAGAGGUGCAGCGGAGAAAAGGCUCGCUUUAAGAUAAAUCUGAUUAUUAAAGGUAGAUUUUCCAUCAUCGGCUGGCUGUGAUCUCUUCACCUGUGCGGUGACAGCGACAGGUCUGGCCUUGCUCUCAGCGUUCACCUUAUCUCCCCAUCUCUUCCAAGUAAUCGGUGGGUGGAGCUGACCCGGUGAUUAAGGAUGCAGCUCACCUGAGCAGCUCGGCACUGAGCUGGAAUCUGUGGGAGGAUUCGGUAACGGCAGACAGGGAGGUAGAUGUUUGACUUUCAGAUGAAGUCAUGACCCCUGCCUGGUCCCGGCUCCCCCUCCCUCUCCCUGUGUCUCUCUGGUGUGAGAUACUCACUGCAAACAGUUCUGAUGUGAUGAUUUUGAAAAUGCUGCUGCUCGAGGUUAUAUGCUGAUGGCUGCUGUACAGGAAGGAGGAAUUCCUCAAAUGAUACUAACGAGCAUCAUGAGCUUAACCUGAAGCUCCAACUCCCGUCACUGCACACUGUCCAAGUUUAUCCUGCACGUCUGCUGCUGUCAUUGCUUUAUCACAUCUGUCUCUGUUUAUGAUCAAUGCUUAUCUGCGUGCUCUCACACACACACACACACACACACACACACACACACACACACACACACACACACC
ensembl:lncRNA